rnacentral:rRNA from 1 species
UACAGAGGAUGCAAGCGUUAUCCGGAAUGAUUGGGCGUAAAGCGUCUGUAGGUGGCUUUUUAAGUCCGCCGUCAAAUCCCAGGGCUCAACUCUGGACAGGCGGUGGAUACUGUCGAGCUCGAGUCCGGAAGAGGCGAGUGGAAUUCCUGGUGUAGCGGUGAAAUGCGCAGAUAUCAGGAGGAACACCAAUGGCGAAGGCAGCUCGCUGGGACGUGACUGACGCUGAGACGCGAAAGCGUGGGGAGCAAACAGG